rnacentral:lncRNA from 1 species
GAGCGAGUGAGCGCUCCUCCGACUUGGGUGGAGGAAGGACAGAAGAGCUCCUUGGCACUGGAUGCCUCCGGGUCUGGUUGAGAGAGGAAUGGUUAGGAGACUGUUCUGAGGAUACGCAGACAUCAUCCAAAGCUUCCUACAUUCAGAUGAGGACAGAGGUUGGGCCAGAGCUUUGUAAGCUUGUUACCUAAGGAUGGUUCUGACCAUGUAAGCAGAUCACAGAAGCACUGUUCACAAUAGCAAAGACUUGGAACCAAUCCAAAUGCCCAUCAAUGAACACCUGGAUAAAGAAAAUGUGGCACAUACACAGCAUGGAAUACUAUGCAGCCAUAAAUAAGGAUGAAUUCAUGUCCUUUGCAGGGACAUGGAUGAAGCUGGAAAACAUCAUUCUCAGCAAACUAAGCUGGAGGCAAAGGAUGCCAAGAUGGGAAAGCCACAUAAUGGAAGGAUCCUGGAUUUCAGAGCUGUCACUUGGAGGAGGGGCACCCAGUGAAGGUGUCUUAUCUAACCCACACCAUAUCUUCAUGAAGUGGCCAUAUGGAUUUGAUCCCUAUCCUUCAGAGGUGCUCAGCCUAAGGGAACACGGAUAGUAGAUUAAGCACUGACCAGAGCCAGCCUUGACAAUGUGCUGAUGGCAACCUAGAACAUAAGCAGAGGAGUAUACAGGACAAGAACUUGAUGGUCUCGGGAAAAUGGACAACAUGACUCAGGUGAAAAAGAUUGAUCAUCAGAUGUUUCUUAUGUAUCAACCUGAUAUUUAAAUCCAUGAAGGACAGAGACGACAAAGGCAGGUGGAAUAGAUAGAGAAGAGAUUCAAGGUCUGAGCUCUACAUUACUCAAACUGUUAGAGAUUAGGAAGAAGAGGAAGACCUGGCAAAAGAAUGUCCUGGGAUGUAGAAAGAAAACCAGAAGCUUGUGUUCUCUGGAAACCAAAUGAAGAAAGGGCUUCCAGAAGGACAGACAAAGUGUAGUGUGUCAAAGGCUCCUGAGCAAUCAGAGGAGAGCACAAAGGGGCUCACAGGACUUUGGUAUCUGGAUCACCCAGUGACACUUCCUGAUCACGAGAAACUGUCAGACCAACAGGGGCACUUUCUGAAACCAGCAGUUCUUCAGUGCCCAAAUGCAACCUUGAUGGUUUGAUUUUGGAGGAUGGCAAUUCAUUAACAGCACUCCCCAGUGAUAAAUAUGAAAACCAAUAAAACCCCC